AUAUGGUUUUUAAAAUACACAAUAAAACCGCUAAUUGAAGUGCGCCACCAAUGAACCAUAAUUCGAAAUGCAGUUACAAGUGUUUAAAUAUUAAACUAACCUCUCGAAGAGCUUUCUCUGACCACCUUCUUUCUCGUCCAAUCUCCACAGCACCACCAACACGCAGCACAACCACUACAGUCUAUAACCUUUCAACUCUCA
rnacentral:lncRNA from 1 species